UGCUAACCUUACUUCAGCCCACGUUUUCGGUUGGUUGAACCGUUCAAUCUGGUUUAAUUUUAAAACAUUAUUAAAAACUAUUUAAUUGAUGUAAGAAAAACAUAAUACUUAUAAAUAUUAUAAAUCAUAGAGUGAUAAAAUCAUACCCUAUUAGAUACAUAUAGAGGGUGUAAAGUAUGGCAAAAUUUAUUAACUUUGUUUAUCUUAUGUUAAUCUUUCAAACUUUCUUUCUUUUUACACCGAUCGUCAAUGGGGUUUUUAAAUGUGCUACAAUUGACGAUUGUUCAAUACAUAUGUGCGGACGUGGUUUAAAACCGAUGUGUUAUUUUGAUGUUUGUAUAUGUGUUGGACUAAAUACUCGCAUAUGAGUAAAAAAAAUAUUAUUCCAAUAUAUUUUAUGAAUUGUCAUAUAGUUAUUAUGUCGACAAUCAAUAAUUUCUUUUUCUUUUAGUUUUUUUAAUUUCACAUAUCUUGCUUUGAUUUUGUACCUUAAGGUGAUAUUAAUAAAGUAAAUUAAAGAAUACAAAUAGUUCCCUUCUCUCUUAACUUCAAGGUAUGUUGUUAAUCACCAUAUGCUCUAUGAUAUCAAUGUACUCCCUUUAUUUUACAAUAGAUGUCAUUUUUUCUA